AUGACUUUCAGGAGUGCUCCAGAGCCAUCCCAAGGACCUGACCUUGAGGAAAGAACCCACAGGCAGCAUUCCAAAGGGAAAAGCAGAAACCACCCGAGCAAUACGCACCGGCCAUUCCCAGUUUUAGCAGGGAUGGGAUUUUCUGGCCGAAACCUCCGUUUUUCCCACCCAAAACCCCUCUUGGUGCCAUUCCCAGAGGCCUCCCCGGGAUGGAACGCGCGGCUUCCCUGCUCCCUGUCCUCCAAGGAGCACCUGAGGCCAUGGAAAAGGGAGGACCCCGCUCCAUCCCCGCUCCAUCCCAACAAUCCCUCUCUCCCAGGCCCCAGCGCUCCCACCUCCGCCACGGCCUCCUCAUCCCAUUCCCGAGCUUUUCCCGGCGAUGGGAGCAGCGGGAGCUCCCGUGGAGCCGGGACUCCCAAUGAUUCAGCACUUUCCCCCCUUUCCCGGAGGGAAUCGAUCCCCGGGAGCGCUGCGGGAGGAUGCGGAUCCCGCACCCGGCACUCACCGCUCGCCGCCGGGGCCCGGCGCUUCCCGGCGCCGCAUCCCAACCCAGGCUCAGGGGUUUGUCCAAAAAUUGGGAAUUUCCGAACUCCAAGGACACCCAGGAGAGCUCAGUUCACAUCCCACAGGCGGGAAAAAGUCCUGGGAAAAGGAGCUGCUCUGGGUUUUCCAGGAAAAUCAGGAAAUAAACAGCACGGGAAGGAUUAGGAAAAGAAAUUCCAGGAUUUUUGAGGCUGGAAAAGCCUUCCAAGGUCACGGAGUCCAAUCCUUGUCACCCAGAGCCCCGAGUGCCACAUCCAGGAAUUCCCUGGACACCUUCAGGGAUGGGGAUUGCAGGCAGGAUGGGAUUCCAGGAGUUUUUGUUCCUGGAAUUCUGAGGCACGAGGAUGAGCCCAGGGGUCAUUCCUGCCCUUCCAGAGGGGCCGAAAUCCGGGAUUUUCCAGGGAGGAGGAGAAAAUCUGCCCAGAUUUUUGUUGGGGUGGGAACAGCUCCGCAGCCAGCGGAGCUCCCAGGAAUCCUUGGAUGCUUUGAUGUGGGAAUCACGUGGGAAGGGGCGAGGGGGGAACAAAGAGUUCCAUGAAUCCUCCAAGGAAUAUUUUUCCAGGAUGGGAAGCAGAAGAGAGCCCCAGGAGCAGCUCCGGAGCUGCAGCCUCCUCAUUCCCGCACCCCAAAUCCCUACGGAUCCAUCCCAAACUCCGGCGAUUUUCAAGCUGAUUCCUCUGAAUCCCAAAAUAGCUUUUCCCCCCACCAUUCCCAGCCUUUUUCGCCGCUUUUCCUGCAAAAAAUUCCUUUUGAUCUUUUUUUUUUUUCCUGCCUCCCUUUCUUCAGCAAAUUAAGCCCAAACUCAUCAGCAGGAAUUGCUCCCACUGGAAUUACUCCGGGAACCUCCAGCUCGGGAUGGAGUUGUUCCGUCUCUUAAAAAAAAAGAUGGAUGAAGAAAUUAAAGGAAUUUGUUGAAAUAUUUCCCUGGAAGUGGCUCCGGAGUCUCCUGGAGCGUUUGGGGACAGCUCGGACACUUCUCCCUCAAAUUCACCUUUUAUUGGAGCUUCUCCUCCUGUUUGGAGCUGGGAUUUUUUGGGAUGUUGUUCCCAAAUAUUGGAAUAUUUUAAGGAAUGAGGUUGAGAAAGUUUCGGGGCUCCAAGGCUGCCGGGGUUAUUCCCAGAGGAGCCAUCCAGCGCUUCCAUUCCCCUCCUUCCCAUGUAU
rnacentral:lncRNA from 13 species